AGACAGGCUGGUGCGAAAGCUCUGACCAGCAGGGCCAUAUGCUCCCCCUCCCCUACCUAAAACCCCAAAUAAAAACCCUUCCUUUUAGCUUUUCGGGGAGUUUGGGAUUUGAGCGUUAGCUGCCCUCUCUCCUUGCUCAGCGCUGUGCAAACGAUAAAAGUCCUACUUUCUUCCACCACACCUGGUGUCAGAGAUUGGUUUGCUGCGCAACGGGACACAAUUGGAAACACUGGUUAUAUUACCAAGGCUUUGACUGGAACAUCAUAUUUGAAAAAACAUACAGGCUUGGAUAUAACAAGACAGCUUUUUGAGGAAUGAAGGUUGACAUUCUGGAAUAAAGCCACUUGGAAAUAUUGGCCUGGUACUGUGCUUAUGGAUUCUGUAACCUGAUAAGGUUGAGCAAAGAAUGUCGUUCCCUCUGGCAGGUACAAGGAACCUCAAUAUUUUGGGGAACCUCGUGAAGAGAGGAAUUCACCCAAAUCUGCAGGUGCUGAAGGCAGAAGAAAAACUUCUUAAUAAAUACCUGGUUACUUACUUACAUGAUACGGGCCCACCUUCAGGAGCCCACCAGCAUCACUGCCUUAUUAAAAGACUGGUUCAAUGAGAUGAAACAACCUAUGCCCCAUUUCGGCAGGAAGUAGCUAGAUUGGUCUCCGCCCCAAAUCCCUCAAGAUUGAGGGAUGGACAUAAAAUGGGGGGGAUUUGAUAUCGACCCUGAUAUCAGUGUCCCCACACUAAACCCAGCAUAUAUGGGGUUAAAACCAAAACACUCAUUCCCUG
rnacentral:lncRNA from 1 species